rnacentral:rRNA from 1 species
UACGGGGGGGGCAAGCGUUGUUCGGAAUUACUGGGCGUAAAGGGCUCGUAGGCGGCCAACUAAGUCGGAUGUGAAAUCCCAAGCUUAACUUGGGAACUGCAUCCGAUACUGGAUGGCUUGAAUCCGGGAGAGGGAUGCAGAAUUCCAGGUGUAGCGGUGAAAUGCGUAGAUAUCUGGAGGAAUACCGGUGGCGAAGGCGGCAUCCUGGACCGGCAUUGACGCUGAGGAGCGAAAGCUAGGGGAGCAAACGGG